CUUAAACUGAAGAGUUUGAUCAUGGCUCAGAUUGAACGCUGGCGGCAGGCCUAACACAUGCAAGUCGAGCGGUAACAGAUCCAGCUUGCUGGAUGCUGACGAGCGGCGGACGGGUGAGUAAUGCAUAGGAAUCUGCCCGAUAGUGGGGGAUAACCUGGGGAAACCCAGGCUAAUACCGCAUACGUCC
rnacentral:rRNA from 1 species